rnacentral:SRP_RNA from 1 species
GCCGGGUGUGGUGGCGCGUGCCCGUAGUCCCAGCUAUUCAGGAGGCUGAGGCAGGAGGAUCACUUGAGCCCAGGAGUUCUGGGCUGUGGUGUGCUAUGCCAAUUGGGUGUCCACAAUAAGUUUGGCAUCAAUAUGGUGACCUCCUUAAGCAGGGGACCACAAGCUUGCCCAAGAAGGGGUGAAUCGGCCCAGGGUGGACACAGAGUAGGUCAAAACUUCAGUGCUGAUCAGUAGUGGGAUCGAGCCUGGGAAGAGCUACUGUGCUCCAGCCUGGGCAACACAGCAAGACCCUGUCUCU